rnacentral:rRNA from 1 species
UACGAAGGGGGCUAGCGUUGCUCGGAAUCACUGGGCGUAAAGCGCACGUAGGCGGAUUGCUAAGUCAGGGGUGAAAUCCUGGAGCUCAACUCCAGAACUGCCUUUGAUACUGGCGACCUUGAGUCCGGGAGAGGUGAGUGGAACUGCGAGUGUAGAGGUGAAAUUCGUAGAUAUUGGGAAGAACACCGGUGGCGAAGGCGGCGCUCUGGACCGAGACUGACGCUGAGGCGCGAAAGCGUGGGGAGCAAACAGG